GUUGAAACAUCAGUUCCCGUACGAUCGCCGAAGUUAAGCAACGCCGAUCCUAGUCAGUACCUAGAUGGGUGUCCGUUUGGGAAUAUAAGUUUCUG